rnacentral:rRNA from 1 species
GACGAACGCUGGCGGCGUGCUUAACACAUGCAAGUCGAACGAAAAGAGGGAAAGAGCUUGCUCUUUCCGGAAUUGAGUGGCAAACGGGUGAGUAACACGUAAACAACCUGCCUUCAGGAUGGGGACAACAGACGGAAACGACUGCUAAUACCGAAUAAGUUCCAAGGGCCGCAUGGCCCAUGGAAGAAAAGGUGGCCUCUACCUGUAAGCUAUCGCCUGAAGAGGGGUUUGCGUCUGAUUAGCUGGUUGGAGGGGUAACGGCCCACCAAGGCGACGAUCAGUAGCCGGUCUGAGAGGAUGAACGGCCACACUGGAACUGAGACACGGUCCAGACUCCUACGGGAGGCAGCAGUGGGGAAUCUUCCGCAAUGGGCGAAAGCCUGACGGAGCAACGCCGCGUGAGUGAUGACGGCCUUCGGGUUGUAAAACUCUGUGAUCCGGGACGAAAGGGCAGAGUGCGAAGAACAAACUGCAUUGACGGUACCGGAAAAGCAAGCCACGGCUAACUACGUG